rnacentral:rRNA from 1 species
GAUGAACGCUGGCGGCGUGCCUAAUACAUGCAAGUCGAGCGAACGGACGAGAAGCUUGCUUCUCUGAUGUUAGCGGCGGACGGGUGAGUAACACGUGGAUAACCUACCUAUAAGACUGGGAUAACUUCGGGAAACCGGAGCUAAUACCGGAUAAUAUUUUGAACCGCAUGGUUCAAAAGUGAAAGACGGUCUUGCUGUCACUUAUAGAUGGAUCCGCGCUGCAUUAGCUAGUUGGUAAGGUAACGGCUUACCAAGGCAACGAUGCAUAGCCGACCUGAGAGGGUGAUCGGCCACACUGGAACUGAGACACGGUCCAGACUCCUACGGGAGGCAGCAGUAGGGAAUCUUCCGCAAUGGGCGAAAGCCUGACGGAGCAACGCCGCGUGAGUGAUGAAGGUCUUCGGAUCGUAAAACUCUGUUAUUAGGGAAGAACAUAUGUGUAAGUAACUGUGCACAUCUUGACGGUACCUAAUCAGAAAGCCACGGCUAACUACGUGCCAGCAGCCGCGGUAAUACGUAGGUGGCAAGCGUUAUCCGGAAUUAUUGGGCGUAAAGCGCGCGUAGGCGGUUUUUUAAGUCUGAUGUGAAAGCCCCCGGCUCACCCGUGGAGGGUCAUUGGAAACUGGGAAACUUGAGUGCAGAAGAGGAAAGUGGAUUUCCAUGUGUAGCGGUGAAAUGCGCAGAGAUAUGGAGGAACACCAGUGGCGAAGGCGACUUUUUGGUCUGUAACUGACGCUGAUGUGCGAAAGCGUGGGGAUCAAACAGGAUUAGAUACCCUGGUAGUCCACGCCGUAAACGAUGAGUGCUAAGUGUUAGGGGGUUUCCGCCCCUUAGUGCUGCAGCUAACGCAUUAAGCACUCCGCCUGGGGAGUACGACCGCAAGGUUGAAACUCAAAGGAAUUGACGGGGACCCGCACAAGCGGUGGAGCAUGUGGUUUAAUUCGAAGCAACGCGAAGAACCUUACCAAAUCUUGACAUCCUUUGACAACUCUAGAGAUAGAGCCUUCCCCUUCGGGGGGGCAAAGUGACAGGUGGUGCAUGGUUGUCGUCAGCUCGUGUCGUGAGAUGUUGGGUUAAGUCCCGCAACGAGCGCAACCCUUAAGCUUAGUUGCCAUCAUUAAGUUGGGCACUCUAAGUUGACUGCCGGUGACAAACCGGAGGAAGGUGGGGAUGACGUCAAAUCAUCAUGCCCCUUAUGAUUUGGGCUACACACGUGCUACAAUGGACAAUACAAAGGGCAGCGAAACCGCGAGGUCAAGCAAAUCCCAUAAAGUUGUUCUCAGUUCGGAUUGUAGUCUGCAACUCGACUACAUGAAGCUGGAAUCGCUAGUAAUCGUAGAUCAGCAUGCUACGGUGAAUACGUUCCCGGGUCU